rnacentral:rRNA from 1 species
AACGAACGCUGGCGGCAUGCCUAACACAUGCAAGUCGAACGAGACCUUCGGGUCUAGUGGCGCACGGGUGCGUAACGCCUGGGAACCUGCCCUUAGGUUCGGAAUAACUCCCCGAAAGGGGUGCUAAUACCGGAUAAUGUCUUCGGACCAAAGAUUUAUCGCCUUUGGAUGGGCCCGCGUUGGAUUAGCUAGUUGGUAGGGUAAAAGCCUACCAAGGCGACGAUCCAUAGCUGGUCUGAGAGGAUGAUCAGCCACACUGGGACUGAGACACGGCCCAGACUCCUACGGGAGGCAGCAGUGGGGAAUAUUGGACAAUGGGCGAAAGCCUGAUCCAGCAAUGCCGCGUGAGUGAUGAAGGCCUUAGGGUUGUAAAGCUCUUUUACCCGGGAUGAUAAUGACAGUACCGGGAGAAUAAGCUCCGGCUAACUCCGUG